rnacentral:miRNA from 1 species
UUAGGAGCCAUGCAGCUGGAGG